GGCUGGGUGCUGGAUCAGGCCCUAAGAUGUUUAUAAGCAUCACCCCCUCCCAAUAACACAGAAGAAUCUCUGUAUACAUGCAACACUUGAAAUACCUAAGUAUGAGCUUUGCUACACCACAGUGGUCCAUUAUUUGCAGUAUUGUGACUCUAUUAGUGUUUUGUGCCUGAUACACAAGAAAGAGGAAUAUGUCCAUGAUAACCCAACUGUGCAACAUCUGCUGUGAUCACCCAAUGCCCUGAAAUGUGAGCUUUAAUGAUCCUUCCUUUAUGCAUAUUUAACUACAAAUAUUUUUCCUGUAAAGGAUCCCACAGAAAUCAAACUCUCACCCCAUUCAGAAUCAGGCCUCUUACUGCAACUCCCUGAACUUCUACUUGACUGCUUGUCUGACCCAGGUGGGAACCACUCACGUCUUGGAGCUUCCAAGUUUAGGUCGGUCAAAUAAAACGAACAGAUGUUAUGAACAGAAGAAGAAAUCAAGCCAUAGCUAUAAAAGCCUUAUUUUCAGGGGCAACACAGAAUAGCUUAAACUGUUGUGUUAGCCUGUAUAGUGAUUCCACAUCAAUUUUGUUUGUAGAUGUUAUCUCUGCUCAGAACGGUUUCCUCCUAAAUUAACUAGACAGUUGAAGAUAUGAGAAGCAUCUUGACCCACAUAUAUACAGACUUGUACCCAGAAGCCUUCUGAUCCCCGAGCAACCCACAGUAAAAUCCCGUCACGAUGGACUAAUAAACAUUUAUCAUAAUUUUCAACUUUUCAAAGUUUGUAGCGUACCAAGACAAUUGCAACUGGCUCUCGUCAUUGGUCUCUCAGUUGAGGAUCGAGAUUCGGCAAGAUGAUUGCUCGCCUGUAAUCCUAUGAACUAGAUGCAUCUGAUCAUGAACUUUACUGGAUAUAAUCUGUCUUCAAUGCAGAAAGCAACAGUAUGAUAUUGUGCCAUAAUGAAUCCUUCAUCAUGAUUGAAAAAGUGCAACAGGGAAACAUGUUUAAUAGACUGAAAAAUAAAGAAAUACCAGCUAAUGGAAGCCCAUGAAGUGCUGGUUCUUACUGCCCAAUUUCCCACCUGUAGCCAAGGGACAGAAACAAACCAACCACCAAACAGAAAAAUGAAAGACUAGAAGGUAAGGAUCAUGGUAAGGCAUUCAUUAUUCAUCCUUUGGUUUUUUUAGCAGUCAUCAUCCAGUAGCACACAGAGGACCCAAGUGAGAUCAGGCCUCCAUUUGGUUCGGCCCGGCGCAGAGAAAGAGUCUUCGCCCUAAGCCCAAAGACAAAAGGUAGACAAGUAGCAGGAGGAAAAACAGACUGGAAGUGAUUCAUCCGUGAUUACACACAGGAGUUCUGCUUCGAUGCCAAGAGUGACAGACACAUCAGAAAUAAACUAGAAUACGAGAGAGAGAAAGAGAAAUAAGAGAGCGAGCAAGCAUGCAAGAGCAAGCAUGCGCAUCCUUUUGCUGUAUUCUUCAGUAUUGUUUUAAUUUGUGCUUAUGGCAUCAGUUUACUGUCACAUCAGUGAUUGUGGUGAUAUCAUUUUUCACUCUGAAAUUAAGCAGAAUAAGCUGAAGAAACAAGCCCCAGAUGUUGAUAUGAGUAAAGCAAAAAACCCGAUUUCCAAGCUCUUAAAAUAUAACAAGAUGCAAAAAUAACACAACAGGAUGAUAUGGACUGAAUAUGUGUCUGCAACAGCAUCUCUCUGGUACUUAUUGGAGUAGUUUGGCUAUUCGUUGGUUAUAUUGGGUUAUCUAACACUUUGGCAAUCCCACUGGCAUCAAGAAGGUAGUGGGGGGCUCAGAUAAUGCCCAGAAAAAGACACGUCUUUUUUGGGUAGUGAUGUCAACAAAUAUGCACCGGGGCUCGGACCCACUCUAACUGAGCUCAGGGUUGAAAGUUUACUGCAUUCACAGAAGUCUGGCCAGCAUGAUGUGAAAACAUCUGCUGAGAAGCUUCCAAUCAUUCUGCCUUCCCCUGGCUCCCCAGAAUAAUCUCUGAAGACAUUGAAAAGGUAAGUGUGGGCGUGUUAUGUUCGGUGGUAGUAAGAUAAUCCAUAUCAAAUGUGGCAUCCAGAACGGCAGCAUCCAAGUGCAAAACAGACUAAUUUUGCGAGAAGAAAUCUGUAGAGACAUUGCCAUCAUGAGUUUAGGCAGGCCUGCAUACUGGUUCUUCACCCACUCUCUCAUUUUUGGUGUACUCGCUCCUUGUCUUCGAUUUUCACAAAAAAGGCUCGUGUCAAGCUUGGGUUCAGUCUCAUAGGGAAAUAGGGUGGCAAGGGACCACAUGAAGUCAUCUAGUCCAGCCCCCUGCUCCCUUGAGAGUCUUCCUUAGGAAGGGACUUGCUGCACUGUGCACUGUCAUAGCCUCCGCUAUCAGCCUCAGGUAAUGUGGUUUAAAAAGGCCCACCCUAAAAGUAAUGAACACAUGGAUCACUGUGGUCAGAUUCUACUCUAAGAAGAAAUAGUAAAAAUGUCCUGGAAAACUAUAGGUAUGCUGGUAUUCAGGAUUAUUGCUGAGUCCAUCAGGACUCCAAGACUUUGUGCUCUCCCAGUAACUUGAUGUUUAUGUUCAACAAGGAUCAAGCUACAGAACGGGUACUGACUGAAACAACUGCAUACUACAUAAAACUUACGGGGCUCCACAUUUCAUCACAACCCCCAGCUCAGACUAGGUCCAUUGAAUUGUUUGCUCAAGUUCAUAAACCUUUGAAAUGAACCUAGGGUGCAAACACACAGAGAUGGCUCUUGUGGUUUGGACACCAAGACCAGGCAAAAAUGCACAAUAGGCUUUAGGAGUUUGGGGUAUGAAACAUGAAGUCCAUUCUGAACACAAAACCUAUAGUGAAAUGGGGAUAGCAUGGUUCCCCAUGGAUUCAAGUUAAGCUCGUCCCAGAUUUUAAGGCAAUACGAAACCAUUAACGAUCAUCUCAUUUGAUUUCCUGCCUAGCUUGUGUCAUUUAAAUAUCAAAUAUUUUUUAGAUGAGGCAUAUCAUUUUGGGGCCAUUUAGCACAUCUCUUGUAGGCAGUCUAAUGAACAGGUUGCUUGAGGUGAGCAAGUUGCUUGUGGGUCAGGUAAGUAUGCCAAAUAGGGAUGCUCUUUGAGAUCUGAAUGUGGUAAAUGGGCCCCUGUAUAUGGGAGCUAUAUGUAUGCAACUGAAGAGAAAGCCAGUAGUAGAUUCCAAGCCAAGAAAUAUUGUGGCUUCCUCAGCUGGACAUCUCCCCUUUGUGCUUGGGGUUUCAUGGAGAGUCUUUCUACUCUUCUGUGCUGUAGAACCACUGUUUAAUUCAUCUGUUCUCUUUACGUGUAGGUUCAAUUAACUGGAGAAGAGUCCAGAUUAGAAGAGCACAUGUAACUCUUCCAUCAGGCUGCUAUUCUACUCUCCUCCUCUUCCAUUUUAUGGUAAAAUAAUGAAGAAAUGAAGAAGGAAGCUUUCUUGAGUUUACAGCAGAAAUAAAGCCAAAAAAACAUGGACAGGAAGCACCUGUCAUUCCUGAUUUGCAACAUCACCUGUUGUUCCAACGCUAGGCUUCUCUAGAGCAGAAACUGGAGCAAAGCACAGAAAUGCAUGCUUGUCAUUGAAGUGAACGGAGAAGAAGGAAGAGGAGAAUGAUAAGAUCGUCGCCUGCAGCACUUUGUUUAUGAGAACAUCCUUCCAGUGAUAUAUGUCUGCACCAGGCCCCACCUAGAGAGUUGUGAUGGGCCCCUCUUUUUCUACUACUUCCAAAGAUUGUGGAGUUCUGCAUUAUCUUCAUUAUCUGUAUGAAGCCAUUGAAAAGGGACAUUUUGAAGCAUCACAGACUAAUAAAGACCAGCCCUGGGCAGAUGACACCUUGCUCUAUAUCACCUUGACAUCAGACAUAGCACCAUCUCACAACUCUCUAGGUGGAGACUGGCAAUUGUCUGGAGAGAAGAGGUUUAACCUGGAGCCAGAAAUGUAUCCCCUACCUUUCAUCUGAUUUGCAAAUGACAAUCAUUAAAAUAAUAAAAUAAAAUAAAUUAAGGACAUUCCUUA